rnacentral:rRNA from 1 species
CCUACGGGAGGCAGCAGUGGGGAAUAUUGCACAAUGGGGGAAACCCUGAUGCAGCGACGCCGCGUGAGCGAAGAAGUAUUUCGGUAUGUAAAGCUCUAUCAGCAGGGAAGAAAAAAAUGACGGUACCUGACUAAGAAGCCCCGGCUAACUACGUGCCAGCAGCCGCGGUAAUACGUAGGGGGCAAGCGUUAUCCGGAUUUACUGGGUGUAAAGGGAGCGCAGGCGGUGCGGCAAGUCUGAUGUGAAAGCCCGGGGCUCAACCCCGGGACUGCAUUGGAAACUGUCGUACUUGAGUAUCGGAGAGGUAAGUGGAAUUCCUAGUGUAGCGGUGAAAUGCGUAGAUAUUAGGAGGAACACCAGUGGCGAAGGCGGCUUACUGGACGAUAACUGACGCUGAGGCUCGAAAGCGUGGGGAGCAAACAGG